rnacentral:tRNA from 2 species
GUAUUAGUGGCUCAAAGCUAAAGCGUCGGCCUUGUAAUCCGGAAAUUGGAGGUUAAACCCCUCCCUAAUGCU